CCAAUAGCGUAUAUUAAAGUUGUUGCAGUUAAAAAGCUCGUAGUUGAAUUUCGGGAUUAAUUUAUUGGUCGUGCUAUUGUACGUACUGGUUUUAUUGAUUCCUCUCUUCUGACGAACUAUGAUGCCAUUAAUUUGGUGUCAUAGGGAAUCAGGACUGUUACUUUGAAAAAAUUAGAGUGUUUAAAGCAGGCUCACGCUUGAAUACAUUAGCAUGGAAUAACGGAAUAGGACGUUUGAUUCUAUUUUGUUGGUUUCUAGGAUCGACGUAAUGAUUAAUAGUGAUAGUUGGGGGCAUUAGUAUUCAAUUGUCAGAGGUGAAAUUCUUGGAUUUAUUGAAGACUAACUACUGCGAAAGCAUUUGCCAAGGAUGUUUUCAUUAAUCAAGAACGAAAGUUAGGGGAUCGAAGACGAUCAGAUACCGUCGUAGUCUUAACCAUAAACUAUGCCGACUAGGGAUCGGAUGAUGUUAAUUUUUUAAUGACUCAUUCGGCGCCUUACG
rnacentral:rRNA from 1 species